GUUUCUCAAAACAUUAUUUUGAUUGAAAAAGACAGACGAAAAAGAGCAUAUACUGUAUUAUCCUUGUUUUGUGAAACUCUACAAAAGCAAGUCUUCUAAUUGGACGUGCACAGUUGAUCAACAGUUCCUUGCCGUUGGAGUUUUAGGAGGAAUAUAGAGAAAUAACUCAUGGAAGUGGGUGAUCAUGAGUUUCCUAAAUGAGCUAAGGUGUUGAAUAUUUUUUCUUCCACUGUGACGCCGAAAUGAUGUAAAUGAAUGGCUCGAAUAUCUGUGAAGAGAGGAAAUUGGAAUGUGAAAAAAGUGAAAGUGGCAAGUCGAAAUGCUUAUUAUAUUAGAAAUGCAUACAAAGAAAUUCAUAUGAAAGCUUACUUUUCAAAAUGAAAGAAUAAUAACAACCCCACUACCAGCAACACCAAGAACAGCAUAUAAAAUUUGUAUGGCCUUUCAUGAUUUUCCAAGAUCAUUUAAUGUAUUAUUUGAAGGCUACCGACAUGCGACAUUUAUAUGUUAGGCAUUCAUGUGUGAAAGCUUUCAUUUUCAGAAUAA
rnacentral:lncRNA from 1 species